ACUUGGAUAUGGACUUCACGGUAACGUAACUGAAUGUGGAGACAUCGGCGUNAGCCCUGGGAGGAGUUCUNUNUUCUUCUUAACAGCUUAUCACCCUGGAAUUGGUUUAUCCGGAGAUAGGGUNUUAUGGCUNGAAGAGCGCAAUACUUUUGUUGCGUCCGGUGCGCUUACNACGGUCCUUGAAAAUCCACAGGAAGGUUUAGGAUUCAUGCCAAGUCGUACU
rnacentral:rRNA from 1 species